CUCCCGAUAGCUCAGUUGGAAGAGCGCGGCAUUGUAAUCACUUAAGUUUGGGACUGCCGCGGUCACCUGUUCGAACCAGGUUCGGGAGA